AUUGAACGCUGGCGGCAGGCCUAACACAUGCAAGUCGAACGAGUGGCGGACGGGUGAGUAAUGUCUGGGAAACUGCCUGAUGGAGGGGGAUAACUACUGGAAACGGUAGCUAAUAACGCCUACCAGAGGAUGGGCCCAGAUGGGAUUUGCUAGUAGGAGGGGUAAAGGCUCACCUAGGCGACGAUCCCUAGCUGGUCUGAGAGGAUGCACAGUCACACUGGAACUGAGACACGGUCCAGACUCCUACGGGAGGCAGCAGUGGGGAAUAUUGGACAAUGGGCGCAAGCCUGAUGCAGCCAUGCCGCGUGUAUGAAGAAGGCCUUCGGGUUGUAAAGUACUUUCAGCGGGGAGGCGUUACCCGCAGAAGAAGCACCGGCUAACUCCGUGCCAGCAGCCGCGGUAAUAC
rnacentral:rRNA from 1 species